rnacentral:rRNA from 1 species
UACGUAGGGUGCAAGCGUUAAUCGGAAUUCCUGGGCGUAAAGCGUGCGCAGGCGGUUAUGCAAGACAGAUGUGAAAUCCCCGGGCUUAACCUGGGAACCGCAUUUGUGACUGCAUAGCUGGAGUACGGCAGAGGGGGAUGGAAUUCCGCGUGUAGCAGUGAAAUGCGUAGAUAUGCGGAGGAACACCGAUGGCGAAGGCAGUCCCCUGGGCCUGUACUGACGCUCAUGCACGAAAGCGUGGGGAGCAAACAGG